rnacentral:rRNA from 1 species
UACGUAGAGUGCAAGCGUUGUCCGGAAUUAUUGGGCGUAAAGAGCUCGUAGGCGGUCUGUCACGUCGGCUGUGAAAACCCGAGGCUCAACCUCGGGCCUGCAGUCGAUACGGGCAGACUAGAGUUCGGUAGGGGAGACUGGAAUUCCUGGUGUAGCGGUGAAAUGCGCAGAUAUCAGGAGGAACACCGGUGGCGAAGGCGGGUCUCUGGGCCGAAACUGACGCUGAGGAGCGAAAGCGUGGGGAGCGAACAGG